UACAGAGGGGGCAAGCGUUAUUCGGAAUUAUUGGGCGUAAAGGGCGCGUAGGCGGUCGUGCAAGUGGAAGGUGAAAUCCCUCGGCUCAACCGAGGAACUGCCUUUCAAACUGCAUGACUUGAGUCCGGGAGAGGUGAGUGGAAUUCCCAGUGUAGCGGUGAAAUGCGUAGAUAUUGGGAGGAACACCAGUGGCGAAGGCGGCUCACUGGACCGGAACUGACGCUGAGGUGCGAAAGCGUGGGGAGCAAACAGG
rnacentral:rRNA from 1 species